rnacentral:rRNA from 1 species
AUGACUCUCGGCAACGGAUAUCUCGGCUCUCGCAUCGAUGAAGAACGUAGCGAAAUGCGAUACUUGGUGUGAAUUGCAGAAUCCCGUGAACCAUCGAGUCUUUGAACGCAAGUUGCGCCCGAAGCCUUUUGGCCGAGGGCACGUCUGCCUGGGCGUC